rnacentral:rRNA from 1 species
UAAGGAAUAUUGGUCAAUGGACGCAAGUCUGAACCAGCCAUACCGCGUGAAGGAUGAAGGUCCUCUGGAUUGUAAACUUCUUUUAUCUGGGACGAAAACGGGAUUUUUAUCUCAAUUGACGGUACCAGAGGAAUAAGCACCGGCUAACUCCGUGCCAGCAGCCGCGGUAAUACGGAGGGUGCGAGCGUUAUCCGGAUUUACUGGGUUUAAAGGGUGCGUAGGUGGGCUUAUAAGUCAGUGGUGAAACCUCCGAGCUUAACUUGGAAACUGCCGUUGAUACUAUAGGUCUUGAAUUAUCUGGAGGUAAGCGGAAUAUGUCAUGUAGCGGUGAAAUGCUUAGAUAUGACAUAGAACACCAAUUGCGAAGGCAGCUUACUACAUAUAAAUUGACGCUGAGGCACGAAAGCGUGGGGAUCAAACA